AUUGAACGCUGGCGGAAUGCUUUACACAUGCAAGUCGAGCGGAGAGAGGUAGCUUGCUACUGAUCUUAGCGGCGGACGGGUGAGUAAUGCUUAGGAAUCUGCCUAUUAGUGGGGGACAACAUUUCGAAAGGAAUGCUAAUACCGCAUACGUCCUACGGGAGAAAGCAGGGGAUCUUCGGACCUUGCGCUAAUAGAUGAGCCUAAGUCGGAUUAGCUAGUUGGUGGGGUAAAGGCCUACCAAGGCGACGAUCUGUAGCGGGUCUGAGAGGAUGAUCCGCCACACUGGGACUGAGACACGGCCCAGACUCCUACGGGAGGCAGCAGUGGGGAAUAUUGGACAAUGGGCGGAAGCCUGAUCCAGCCAUGCCGCGUGUGUGAAGAAGGCCUUAUGGUUGUAAAGCACUUUAAGCGAGGAGGAGGCUACUUAAGUUAAUACCUAGAGAUAGUGGACGUUACUCGCAGAAUAAGCACCGGCUAACUCUGUGCCAGCCGCCGCAGUAA
rnacentral:rRNA from 1 species